GAGGGCGGGCCCCUCGGAGCCGCUGUACAGGCGGAGGCUUCAAACCACCUUAAGCUGCUGCGGUCAAAAGCCGUGGUGGUGAGCGUUAAGGAAAAGGCAGAGCGAGACUCUGUCAGGU
rnacentral:ncRNA from 1 species